UCCAACGGAAGACAGACCUUUUAUGGCUCACCAACUCAAAGAGAAGGUCAUUGCCUGGCGCGCCCAUGGCGUCGUUCGGUUCUCUGAAGAAUGCCAUCUUCGAAAGAGAAGAGAGAAAACAACAGUACCAGGCUCAUGUGCGAGGGCUCAAUGCUUACGAUCGCCACAAGAAGUUUAUGCAUGAUUAUGUUCAUUUCUACGGGAAAAAUAAGACUGGGGAAGAAAAGCUUCCCAUCAAGACUGAUCAAGACACCUUGAGGGAGGGCUACCGGUUCAUUCGUUCAGAAGAAGAUGACAUGGAUACAUCAUGGGAGCAGAAGUUGGUGAAGCGAUAUUAUGAUAAGCUUUUCAAAGAAUACUGCAUAGCUGAUAUGACACAAUAUAAAAGUGGGAAGAUUGGUCUCAGGUGGCGUGCGGAGAAGGAAGUAAUGUCUGGGAAAGGGCAGUUCAUAUGCGGUAACAAGCACUGUGAUGAGAAGAGUGGUUUAGCAAGCUAUGAGGUGAAUUUUUCUUAUUUUGAAGCAGGAGAAAACAAGCAAGCCCUUGUAAAGUUGGUAACUUGUGGGAGGUCGGUGGUCUUUUUUUAUAUGCCAAGAUGCUCAAAGAAGCUUCACUACAAGAGACAGAAAGAAAAGGAGAAACUGGAAAGGAAGGAGCAAGAAAUGUCCAAAAGGAAGAGGCCAAGUGAUGACAGUUCAGAUACUGAGGAUGAAGGGAGCAGAACGAGGAGAAAAGGAAAAAAGGCCUCAACAUCAUUUGGGGAUCAUAAAGCUGAUAGCAAAGAAGAGUUUGAUGAGUAUCUGGAGGGAAUGUUUCCAUAAUAACGUUGAUGAUGAUGAAUAUAGGCCUCAAGGUUACACUUCUCAGCCUCCACAACCAUUAUUUUCAGCGAUCCGCUUCCUUGAAACCUUUUCGAAGACAAAAAAAUGGCUAAAAAAUGGCUGUGGUUGUAUUCUGCGCAGCUGGGUUUUUGCUCAGAACCAUUUGCAAAAGCUUCCUUACCUUUGGAAGUGAGGAAAAUCGAGUCAAUCAAUGGUACAUUUGGUUAGUCAGUUUUCCAUUAUUAGAAACUUGAAAGUCUCUUGUGUAUUUAAUUUUCACAGGGCUGGAUGGGCAUCCUUCGACCUUUCAUUCUAGAGGUGAGAAGCUCGUUCCUUCAUCCCAUUUCCAAAAAGGGCCAAUUGCAAUUAGACUCUUGAAAUUUUCAAAAGUAAUUUAGUAGUGUUGAAAUCAA